rnacentral:rRNA from 1 species
AACAAGGUCUCCGUUGGUGAACCAGCGGAGGGAUCAUUACAGAGUUGAAAAACUCCAACCCCUGUGAACCUACCUUUACUGUUGCUUCGGCGGACGAUGGCCCCAGGGCCGGACGCCGCCGGAGGUUACAAACCCUGAAUUUUUAGUGUAUCUCUGAGCACAAAAACAAAUAAUUAAAACUUUCAACAACGGAUCUCUUGGUUCUGGCAUCGAUGAAGAACGCAGCGAAAUGCGAUAAGUAAUGUGAAUUGCAGAAUUCAGUGAAUCAUCGAAUCUUUGAACGCACAUUGCGCCCGCCGGUAUUCCGGCGGGCAUGCCUGUCCGAGCGUCAUUUCACCACUCAAGCCCAGCUUGGUGUUGGGGCACCCGGCCGCCCGGCGGUCGGGGCCCCCAAGAACAUCGGCGGUCUCGCUGGGACCCUGAACGCAGUAACUCGCGGUAAAACGCGCUUCGUUCGGAGGCUUUUCCCGGCGGGCUCCAGCCGUUAAAACCCCCUAAAAUUCUUAGGUUGACCUCGGAUCAGGUAGGAAUACCCGCUGAACUUAAGCAUAUCAUA